AUAAGAAAUUUAAGAGCAUAUGGUGGAUGCCUUGGUUCUAAGAGGCGAUGAAAGACGUAGCAUGGCUGCGAUAAGCUUCGGGGAGGUGCCUAGCAACCUUUGAUCCGGAGAUCUCUGAAUGGGGAAACCCCAUAACUGUUAUAGGUUAUGACCUACAUUUUAAUGUAGGAGUAUACCCAGGGAAGUGAAACAUCUCAGUACCUGGAGGAAAAUAAAAAAAGCCGCCGAAUGGCGGAACAUUUCCUGAGUAGCGGCGAGCGAAACGGAAAUAGCCCAAACCUACUAUUUAUAGUAGGGGUUGUAAGGCAGAGACGUCGUAUUUAUACGAGAGAAGUUACAAAAUGUAAUGUUAGUUGAACAUGCUGGAAAGCAUGGCCCUAGACGGUGAUAGCCCGGUAAACGAAAACAUUACAUCUUCUUUGUUUCUGUUCUUGAGUACUUCGAGACACGAAUAGCUCGGGGGAAUCUACCAGAACUAACUGGUAAGGCUAAAUACUCUUAGAAACCGAUAGUGAACUAGUACCGUGAGGGAAAGGUGAAAAGAACCCCGGUGAGGGGAGUGAAAUAGAACUGAAACCAUAUGCUUACAAGGAGUCGGAGCCUUAAUUUAUUAGGGUGACGGCGUGCCUAUUGAAGAAUGAGCCAACGAGUUAAUGUAUACUGCGCGGCUAAGCCCUUGUCGGGUGGAGCCUUAGGGAAACCGAGUGUGAAUAGCGCGUUUGUAGUAUGCAUUAGACCCGAAGCCAGAUGAGCUUACCAUGAGCAGGGUGAAGUUUGUAGAAAUACAGAUGGAGGCCCGAACCGGUUGGCCGUGCGACACCAUCGGAUGACUUGUGGUAAGGAGUGAAAAGCUAAUCGAAUCUGGUAAUAGCUGGUUCUCUCCGAAAUAUGUUUUGGCAUAGCGUCUAGCGUACCCUCUGGGGGUAGAGCACUGGAAGGACUGAACAGGGAGCAAUCUCGUCAGUCCUAUCAAACUCCGAAUACCAGAGAUUAAAUACUAGGCAGUAAGACUACGGGGGCGAAGCUCCGUCGGUCAAAAGGGAAACAGCCCUGAUCUCAAGUUAAGGUCCCAAAAUCUACGCUAAGUGUACUUAAGGAGGUGGAGUUUCUCAGACAGUGAGGAUGUUGGCUUAGAAGCAGCCAUCAUUUAAAGAAAGCGUAACAGCUCACUCACUAAGAGACUCUGCACCGAAGAUAAUCGGGACUAAGCGUAGUACCGAAACUGAGGGUUCUCUCGUCUUUAGAGAUGGGGGAGCGGUAGGAGAGCGUUCAUGUCUGCGCUGAAGGAGAAGUGUGAGCAACUCUGGAGCGGCAUGAAGUGAGAAUGUUGGCACAAGUAACCACAAUGCGGGUGAGAUCCCCGCACGCCGUAAGAGCAAGGUUUCCUUUGCGAUGUUGAUCAGCGAAGGGUUAGUCGGGCCUAAGGUGAUAGCGAAAGCUGAAGCCGAUGGACAUAGGGUUAAUAUUCCCUAACUUUUUAUUUGUGCGAUGGAGUGACGAAGGUUAGUAUGUCUUGCGCAUUAUUGGAUUUGCGUUUGUGUCAUCAGUGUGAUUCUUAGGUAAAUCCGGGAGUCUGGUUUUAAUACCGACCGCAAGUGAAGCAGAGACGAUUAGGUUCGCCUAGUCGAAUAAGACAAAGCAACUUUCCGAGAAAAGCUUCUAAGCAUAACAAAUAAAAAACCGUACCUAAAACCGACACAGGUGCUCGGGUCGAGUAGACUAAGGCGAACGAGUGAUUGCUUCUCAAGGAACUCGGCAAAAAAGCAGCCGUAACUUCGGGAUAAGGCUUGCCUCCACCACUUUGUCUUUAAGGCAAGUGAUGGAGUCCGAAGAAUUGAGUGUAUCGAGACCGUGUUUGACGUCAGAGCUGAUGUCAAACACAAAAAUGUUGACUAGAUUUUUCUGGCUCUCUCCGCUUUGAACAUAAAGUGGUGGAGGCCGCAGCGAAAGAUUCCCUGCCAACUGUUUACCAAAAACACAGCUCCAUGCGAACUCGUAAGAGGAUGUAUAUGGGGUGACGCCUGACCAAUGCCAGAAGGUUAAAUACGGGUGGUGAUAUGACUUCGGUUGUAUUGCUGGCUUGUAUAAGCCCUGGUGAAUGUCGGCCGUAACUAUAACGGUCCUAAGGUAGCGUAAUUCCUUGUCUGGUAAGUUCAGACGUGCACGAAUGGCGUAAUGAGUGGGGAACUGUCUCGAGAAGCAGCUCGGUGAAAAUACAAUACCGGUGAAGAUGCCGGUUACCUGCAGAUAGACGAAAAGACCCCGUGAGCUUUACUAUAGCUUAAUAUUGAACAUGUUUUGUGUCUGCGUAGCAUAGGUGGGAGGCUUUGAAGCAACCUUUUCGGGGGUUGUGGAGCCAACAGUGAAAUACCACCCUUACUCGAGGCAUGUUCUAAUCUGUACGGAAAAAACGCACGGAGACAGUAUUUGGCGGGUAGUUUGAGUGGGGCGCUCUCCUCCUAAAAGGUAACGGAGGAGUCUAUUAAGGUCCUCUAGGCGCGAAUGGAAACCGUGCCGAUAGCGUAAUGGCAAAAGAGGGCUUAACUGCAAGACGGACAUGUCGAGCAGGUGCGAAAGCAGAGCAUAGUGAACCGACGACACGCUUUAGAUGCGGUCGAAGAUUAACGGAUAAAAGCUACCACGGGGAUAACAGGCUAGUUCUGCCCAAGAGUUCAUAUCGACGGCAGAGUUCGGCACCUCGAUGUCGGCUCAUCUUAUCCUGGAGGUGGAGAAGCUUCCAAGGGUUUGGCUGUUCGCCAAUUAAAAAGAUACGUGAGCUGGGUUCAAACCGUAGAGGAGUGAAUUACAAAGAUUGUGCAAAGUAUGUUUUCAUCUUUGUAAUUGACUUCUCUUAGUUUGAACCCGAGGCGAUGAGACUAAACUCAUCAACAAGACAUUAUAAUCACGGCGGCAGAGUACAGCGAUGUAUUCUGACAAGUUGACUAAUUUCGGGAAAACCUAAACGAGAAAUCGAAUGGCAAUUCCGAGGGAAACAGUGUAGUACACUGUGCCCGUAGAGACUAAACGUCAGCACCCCUUACUAAAAAUAAGGGUUAUGCUAUAGUCCGAUCCCUCUUGAAAAAGAGGUUCUCGCGGUUUGGAGACCAGAGCGAGAUGUAAAACACUAAUGCGUGAGACAGGUUGGUCUCCUAUCUUCUGCAGGCGUUGAAUUUUGAGGGGAUUUGCUCCUAGUACGAGAGGACCGGAGUGAACUGACCUCUGGUGUGGCUGCUGUCCUGCCAAGGGCACCGCAGCGUAGCUAUGUCGGGAAUGGAUAACCUCUGAAAGCAUCUAAGAGGGAAGCCAACCCCAAGAUCAGAAUUCGUUUGAGGCCCGUGAGAGAUGAUCACGUUGAUAGGCUCUAUGUGUAAGACGAGUAAUCGUUUCAGCAGAGGAGUACUAAUACGCCGAUUCUUAUU
rnacentral:rRNA from 1 species